rnacentral:rRNA from 1 species
GGUGAACGCUGGCGGUAGGCCUAACACAUGCAAGUCGAACGGCAGCACAGUAAGAGCUUGCUCUUACGGGUGGCGAGUGGCGGACGGGUGAGGAAUACAUCGGAAUCUACUUUUUCGUGGGGGAUAACGUAGGGAAACUUACGCUAAUACAGCAUACGACCUACGGGUGAAAGCAGGGGAUCUUCGGACCUUGCGCGAGUGAAUGAGCCGAUGUCGGAUUAGCUAGUUGGCGGGGUAAAGGCCCACCAAGGCGACGAUCCGUAGCUGGUCUGAGAGGAUGAUCAGCCACACUGGAACUGAGACACGGUCCAGACUCCUACGCGAGGCAGCAGUGGGGAAUAUUGGACAAUGGGCGCAAGCCUGAUCCAGCCAUACCGCGUGGGUGAAGAAGGCCUUCGGGUUGUAAAGCCCUUUUGUUGGGAAAGAAAAGCAGCAGGUUAAUACCCCGCUGUUCUGACGGUACCCAAAGAAUAAGCACCGGCUAACUUCGUG